AGUCGUAACAAGGUUACCGUAGGUGACCUGCGGUAGGAUCAUUG
rnacentral:rRNA from 1 species